UUCAGGCUGAAGCACCCGGGAAGUUUCUGCUUGAGUGAGCCACGAAAUCCAAGCAACUUGCAGUCACAGGGGUGAGGGCAGCUGCCCGGUAUAGCGUUCCAGCAUCACAGCGCUUCAGUGAGUCAGAAAUGAGCAUUUGUAUGCUAGGCUGUGGAGGACUUGUUUUUGCUUCAGCUAUGUCCAACCUAUGCCUGACUGGGGUCGUUGACCUGUAGUUGGUUUCAGGGCUUUGGGAAAACUCCAAAAUAGGAGGCCGAAUACCAUGAAUACAUUAUGUGUGUUUUGUGAGUGGAGUGGAAACAUAUGUUACAUUGUUCCUCUGGUUGCAGUCGUAACAGUGGAGGCAGCUGUGGAGCUGUUGGCUUUCCUACAGAUUUACUUCCUUGUUACAUGUCUUAAACGACUGCCUAAAGGAGGUGGUCCUUCAGCUAAAUAGACGCCACCAAUGGGAAAACCCCUAGAUGGAAUCCCAGUGGGGCCAGGUGUGAACCAAUAAGAUUAUAUUCAACAGUGAUUAUCGGGAAGACUUGAACCAGGCCUUUCUUCUCAGUCAUGACUCAGUCGCCUUCCUGGGAUUUUAGAAAGAUAUGAUGGGGCUAUAAGGUUUAAAGGUCAACAUGGCUCUUCCCAGCCUGAUAAGAGUCAUUUAUGCAUCUAUCACCGGCUACCAAGCAGCAAGAUAACAAGCUACGGGAAUACUACACUGAAGAGAGAUGUAUCAUAUGAAGGCCGUAAGGAACUACAUGGACUAAAUGCCAGCUGUAUGGCAUUUAGAUGCAGUAGCUUUCCUCAGGGACUACUGAGAUGAUUCUGCUCUCAAGUCAUUGCUACCUGGACCUGUGUGCAAAGUCUCUCCAUUCACUCAACACACCUGCAGUGAGCCCUUGGGUGGCACCUUCCUCCAUGGUCCUAGGAAGAUUUCAUUUUACAAAGGACAAUGCACAGGGAGUGAGAACUCUGAAACGGAUUUUGUGUUCACAGUCUCAAGCCUGGCAGAACACUGCAGACUAAGGGAAAAUACUUUUCAACCUUCCUGAUGAAGAAUUCAAGUCUCUGGCAGUACAGGACUGGAGUCAUGCAGACAUUUAUAAGCUCCUGUGGUAUAUUAUAAAGAGCAAGAGGUAUUUCUUUAUUCAUCAUAUUG